UACGGAGGGUGCAAGCGUUAUCCGGAUUCACUGGGUUUAAAGGGUGCGUAGGUGGGCAGGUAAGUCAGUGGUGAAAUCUCUGGGCUUAACCCGGAACUGCCGUUGAUACUAUCUGUCUUGAAUAUAGUGGAGGUGAGCGGAAUAUGUCAUGUAGCGGUGAAAUGCUUAGAUAUGACAUAGAACAUCGAUUGCGAAGGCAGCUCGCUACACUAUGAUUGACACUGAGGCACGAAAGCGUGGGGAUCAAACAGG
rnacentral:rRNA from 1 species